UACGUAGGUGGCAAGCGUUGUCCGGAUUUACUGGGCGUAAAGAGCGCGCAGGCGGUCGCUCAAGUCGCGUGUGAAAGCCCCCGGCUCAACUGGGGAGGGUCACGCGAUACUGAUCGACUGGAAGGCAGGAGAGGGUAGUGGAAUUCCCGGUGUAGUGGUGAAAUGCGUAGAUAUCGGGAGGAACACCAGUGGCGAAGGCGACUACCUGGCCUGUUCUUGACGCUGAGGCGCGAAAGCUAAGGGGAGCAAACGGGG
rnacentral:rRNA from 1 species